CACAAAGGCUUGGUCCUAACCUUUAAAUCAGUUCUUACGUGGCCUACACAUGCAAGUCUCCGCACCCCUGUGAAAACGCCCCUAAAUUCUGAUGAGUUUAAGGGAGCAGGUAUCAGGCACAACCCUCUGCCCAUGACACCUAGCCAUGCCACACCCACAAGGGCGCACAGCAGUGACUAAUAUUGAACUUAUUAGCGACAGCUUGAUUCAGUCAAAGUAAAGAUGAGCCGGCAAAAACGGUGCCAGCCGCCGCGGUUACACCAUAUGACUCAAAUUGAUUUAUUUCGGCGUAAAACGUGAUUAAAGGAACCAUAAAAACUAGAGUUAAACCCGGACUAGACAGUCAAAUGUAAUCUCCUAGGGAAACCCACACAACGAAAGUCACUCUAUACACUUCAACUUGAACUCACGAAAGCUUGGAUAUAAACUGGGAUUAGAUACCCCACUAUACCUUGUCGUAAACUUUUAAAUUACACCUAUAACGCCCGGGAACUACGAGCAAAGCUUAAAACCCAAAGGACUUGACGGUGCCCCAAAUCCCCCUAGAGGAGCCUGUCCUAUAACCGAUAAUCCACGUUUAACCUCACCACUUCUAGCUUAUUCAGCCUGUAUACUUCCGUCGUCAGCUUACCACGUGAGCGAAACAAGUUAGCUUAAUGUCCAUAGUAUUCUCGUCAAUACGUCAGGUCAAAGUGCAGCAUAUGAUGUGGGAUAAAGAUUGGCUACACUUUUUAGUAUAAAAGAAACGGGAAACAGUAUGAAACUCUGUUGAAAGGCGGAUUUAGAAGUAAAAAGAAAUCAUAAAGUUCAUUUUAACCAGGCACUGGGACGCGUACACACCGCCCGUCACCCUCUUCGAAAACCCUUCAUUAGUAUUUAACCAACUACUUUUCUUAGAGAAGAGGUAAGUCGUAACAUGGUAAGCAUACCGGAAGGCGUGCUUGGAAA
rnacentral:ncRNA from 1 species